GCUGGGCGCGGUGGUGUGUGCCUGUAGUCCCAGCUACUCGGGAGGUUGAGGUGGGUGGGAGGAUUGCUUGAGCCCAGGAGUUCUGGGCUGCAGUGCGCUAUGCCGAUCGGAUGUCCGCACUAAGUUCAGCAUCAGUAUGGUGACCUCCCAGGAGCGGGGGACCACGAGGUUGCCAAAAAGGAAUGAACCGGCCCAGGUCGGAAACGGAGCAUGUCAAAACUCCUGUGCUGAUCAGUAGUGGGAUCACACCUGUAAAUAGCCACUGCGCUCCAACCUGGGCAACGUAGAGAGAACCCUCUCUGA
ensembl:misc_RNA Metazoa_SRP Metazoan signal recognition particle RNA